UACCCUGGAGCAACUGCCAUUUUGGUUCCCAUGGUACUAGGGAUUUGCUUAGCCUGGGGCUAACAUACCUGUACCUCAGUACUUUCCUGUAGCCAUCCGGCCUUGCUCCAUCACAGUACCCUGACAGGGAGAAAAUACCUGGUACUGAGGGGUUCUUUAAUCUUGAGGAGAGAGGCAUAACAAGAACCAAUGGAUGGAAGCUGAAGUCAAACAAAUUCAAAUUAGACAUAGGGCACAUAUUUUUGAAGGUGAUAAACCUUUGGACUAAACUAACAAAGGAAGUAGUGGAUUCUCUAUCUGUUGAUUUCUUCAAAUCAAGACUGGAUGCCUUUCUGAAAGAUCCUGGGAAGUCCAGACUUGGAGCAGGAUCCACUGAUCUGGACCAUGUAAUGCUCCAGCAUGCUGUUUAGUGGUAUCACUCCCAGGCUCUACCUCCGACAGGAGACGACCUUCAGAGUUAAAAUAAGGGUAGAGGAAGAUGUAUCUUAUGCAGCUGAUCCAAGCAAAGAUGGGCAGGAAGAAUAACCGGGCCAAGAUCCAGCUGUUUUUAGAGUUGGGAGUGAGCUACCAAUGGCCUAUCAUCAUGCUGGCUGUACAAUCUGCAGGGCCCCAAGCAAGGACACAGCCCCAAGCUGCUGGCGCUGAUAACUGGGCAUGAAUUUCUUCCCAUCUGGUUCUGGUCCUAGGGAAGGUAUGGGAACAAGUUCUUUUCUCUUCCUUUGGUCUCAGAGAUGAGGAAUAGGACAAACACCUGACAUGCUAUGCCUGCUUACUUUGCUUUUGUAAAGGCCAGCCCUGCCUACUCCACAACCCUGCUGGCUCUGGAGUGGAGUGGAAAUCAAUGGGAGUUUUACCAGUGUGAGAACUGGAGGAGCAAGCCAAAGAUCUCACUGCUGUGGCAGAAUCUGGUGGCCCACCCCUCAUUAUAUGUAUUUUAUGUAUUAUUCCUAUAAUUCAACUGAGGUCAUCUUAUCACUAUUAAACACCCACCUGUGAUUAUUUUUCAACA